AGAACGAACGCUGGCGGCAGGCUUAACACAUGCAAGUCGAACGCUCGUAGCAAUACGGGAGUGGCAGACGGGUGAGUAACGCGUGGGAACAUACCCUCCGGUUCGGAAUAGCUCAGGGAAACUUGGAUUAAUACCGGAUACGGCUGAGAGGCGAAAGAUUUAUCGCCGGAGGAUUGGCCCGCGUUCGAUUAGCUUGUUGGUGAGGUAACGGCUCACCAAGGCGAUGAUCGAUAGCUGGUCUGAGAGGAUGAUCAGCCACAUUGGGACUGAGACACGGCCCAAACUCCUACGGGAGGCAGCAGUGGGGAAUAUUGGACAAUGGGCGCAAGCCUGAUCCAGCCAUGCCGCGUGAGUCGAUGACGGCCUUAGGGUUGUAAAGCUCUUUCGCUCGGGACGAUAAUGACGGUACCGAGAUAAGAAGCCCGGCUAACUUCGCGCCAGCAGCCGC
rnacentral:rRNA from 1 species